CAUGGAAGAGAAGAACACUCUUCCAAAAAAAAAAAACAAGCUUGAUCUUCAAAUCCUUGUAAUUUUUUAUCCGGAGCUCCGAUCGUCACACCAUUUGCGGCCACGUGAUCACGGCGUCGAACUCUACAAAUCCCACAAGGUUGUAUAAGAGGAUCCAAUUAGCUUGAAGGAAAAGCUUAGUCUUGUCUUUUUUAUCCUUGAGUAUGGCAAGGUAUAUAUGAAUAUUGGAGCUUGAUUGAGGUUUUGGAAAGUUUGGAAGUAGAGCUAUUGCUGAAAGAUAUAUUGGUGAGGUGUUGAAGUCUUAGGAGCUUGAGAAAAAGUGAAAUUAGAAGUGUUCCGAGUUGAGCAGAGAAUUGGCCAAGAUGCAGGACGUGAGGCUCCUCGCUGAGACAUGCUGAAAGCUUCUGAUUUUGCGAAGAUCUUUAUCUUUUGGACUUUAUUUUGGUUAUCUGUAUUUACUUAGAUACUUAUAUUCUCCACUGUUUAUAUAUAUACUAUAUUAAAUCCCCUUAGAGGUUACUUUUGAGAAACAGGUUCUGUAAUCUUGUCUUUUAGGUUUAUUUUGGGUUCUCCUUUCUAUCUAUGUAUGUAUACUUCUAUGCUCGGAUCGGUUAUCUUCGCAAACCGAGUCUUGAGCUUUGAUAUCUAUA